rnacentral:misc_RNA from 1 species
AUCUUCGGCACGAGCGCCUCUUUUUCUUCGGCUUCAGAAUGCCCGCGGACGGCGAGCAGUCGCAGCAGGCUCAGGCGCCAGCCUGAAGCCGCGCAGCACCAUCGACUAGUACGAGCGCCACUCGAGAGACAUCCAACGUCUUAUCGACAACGCGGCGAUGCCCCGGUCGAAUGGGAAAGAGCGUCGGCUCGAAGCAGCGCUGAUCACGUAUUCAUGCACCCCUUCUUGGACGACAGAGGCGUCGGUCUACCUCGCUGGCCACGUAGAGCUGACGCUGAGUCCGUAGAUGAAGAAUCCAAUGGAACCUGCGAACUCCAUGGGGAAGCACCACGCUCGAGUGCAGCGAAGGAGCAGUGCUGUGAGUGCCUCACCGCUGAGCGCGCACACCGCAGCACGUCACCGCUUCCAGCUCGAUUCGACCACUUCCUCUUUCACCACACCUCUGUUUAGCCCUGCAGUGAUCGUUCAUAGUAUGAAAGAGCGUGUGGGGGGGGGGGACAUCAGACUUGGGAAGCCUGUCUUCCUCUGCACUUUAAAAAGGAUUCGCCCGCAACGGAGGAAGGUGCGGCGGACUGGAGCGACAAUGCAGACGCCCACCAUACUAGAGGAGACGGAAAAGAAACGCGCGAGGAAGCACGACUUACCGGCCAACGUUUGAGGGAGAUGCCGUGGCCACCUUCUACACAAGUUCGACGGCUUCGAAACUGCAUUGUCCAAAGAGCAGGGGCUCUUGCCACACCCGCUCCUCGGCACGCGCAUAGCUGGAUGCUCACGCGUCUCGGUGCCUGUCCACACCAUAGUUUGAUGGCAGGCGGACACCCCCGUAUGUGGCAUCUCACGAUCCAGCACCCCCACCCUCUAGCCCUGCCCGAUGCCGAGCCGCUUCUGGUCGUGACAGGCUCUGGCGCCCACGACGUAGGAUGGGGAGGUCAGAACGCGCUUGCGCCAUCCAUAUGGUAGGCGGAGCGUCAGUGUGAGUCGAGCACACCCCACCUGACCCUCAAUGCCUACCGGUGGUGGGGAGCCUGAGCCACCCCGAGGGGGAUUCACCAGGUGGCGACCGGCAGAACGGGGGAGCGCCUGUGCGGCAACCUGCGAGGUUGGGGACGGAUGGAGUUUGGUGCAGAGCCAGAGCUGGGAUGUCUGGGUCGGUGCACAGCUGUAACGCAUGUGCCUACGGCGUGCUGCUUUGCACCACGCGAUGGGGGCCUGUGGCGGGCCCGGUAGAGCGGAUUCGAACUCGUGUUGCGUGGCAGAAAAUUCGCAGGCUGAGCAGCAAAGUUGUCAGCGCCUUUUUCAGGAGGAUGCAACUGUGUCGGAAGGGCGACGGGGCUUCACCGUGCCACCAGCGAAGCAGUGUAUGACGGGAAGCAUGCAAUGCAAGGAAGGUGUCGGGGGACCGAAGUGUGGUCGUGCCCAUGUGCGCCAUACGUAAGGCCGUGCACACUCGCAUCUCGCUUUGAGCCGGCCGCCGUCAUCGUCCUCGGCGUCAACAGAGUCGCUCUCCAUUCGUUUCGUCUGAUGCUCGCUCGUGGUCCAUUUCACGAGGCUCUCGACAUCCAUCAACCUUACGCGCCUGUGCCUCCCAGACUGGUCGCGGCCUCUCUCGCCCCUUUUUGUCCUUGCCCCGUCUGAAUCGUAUCUCUUUUAGGACGGUGUAUUGUCCCUCUGCCC